rnacentral:rRNA from 1 species
CUACGGGAGGCAGCAGUGGGGGAUAUUGCACAAUGGGGGAAACCCUGAUGCAGCAACGCCGCGUGAAGGAAGACGGAUUUCGGUCUGUAAACUUCUAUCAGCAGGGAUGAAAAUGACAGUACCUGACUAAGAAGCCCCGGCUAACUACGUGCCAGCAGCCGCGGUAAUACGUAGGGGGCAAGCGUUAUCCGGAUUUACUGGGUGUAAAGGGUACGUAGGCGGUUUGUUAAGUCAGAUGUGAAAGCCCGGAGCUCAACUCCGGGACUGCAUUUGAAACUGGCGAACUAGAGUACAGGAGAGGAAAGCGGAAUUCCUAGUGUAGCGGUGAAAUGCGUAGAUAUUAGGAAGAACACCAGUGGCGAAGGCGGCUUUCUGGACUGUAACUGACGCUGAGGUACGAAAGCGUGGGGAGCCAACAGGAUUAGAUACCCGCGUAGUC